UACGUAGGGUGCGAGCGUUGUCCGGAUUUAUUGGGCGUAAAGAGCUCGUAGGCGGUUUGUCGCGUCGGCCGUGAAAUCUCCACGCUUAACGUGGAGCGUGCGGUCGAUACGGGCAGACUUGAGUUCGGUAGGGGAGACUGGAAUUCCUGGUGUAGCGGUGAAAUGCGCAGAUAUCAGGAGGAACACCGGUGGCGAAGGCGACAUCCUGGACCGGUAUUGACGCUGAGGCGCGAAAGCCAGGGGAGCAAACGGG
rnacentral:rRNA from 1 species